CACCUACUUUGCUUUACACCUGCAAUAGAAAGAUCACAAAACAAAUAGGUCUAUGUCUGGGCCACGCCAAAUACACAUACCAUACCAUACAUAUUUCUGGCAUGCAAAUAAUAAAGGUAGCUUAAAUUGGGAGAAAUUGCACCCUGCUUCAUCUGUGUUAGUUCAGUAUUGAAAUUCAUCUUCUGUUAGCUGGUCCAAGUAAUAUAAUGUGUGGGGAAAGUACCUCUACACAUGCACAGAGUUCCUUCACCACUGAAACUCAAAAGGGUGGCUAGGAAAGAUAUUAAAGCAUAAUCUUUCAUAGCUAGAGCACACUCUGUCAGCAACUAAUUGAUUCCUCAGUCAGUGAGAUCCAUUUGCUAUGAGACUCCAUUUCACAACUGUUUCAGUCUCUUUAAUGUUCUCCAAGAAUUUUUUUUGUUAUAUCAGACUCUAGAUGAUACCCCACUGAAAUCUUCCACUACUGAACUAUGGUAUAUCUACUUUUCCCAUAUACUCACAAGAAUCAUGGAAACUUCCACAGAAACCCAAAAUUUUGUUCAGAGUUCUUUUCCCUUCCUUCCAGAUAAUGCCACCCAAGUCUACAUGCGGAAUAAGGCUCACUCUAGAAAUCUGUCCCAAACCUAGGACUGAAACCAGAAUGUAUAAUAUCUCCUUUCCCUCUAAAAGCAAGUUCACUUUAGCGACUAGCUUCUUCCAGCCUUGGCAGGUGAACUGCAAAAGGAAGGGCAAGAGUUGCUCUUUCAGUUGUCUCUUCUAUUCACCUUCAGUGACAAAGGGAGGGAGGAAGCUCUGCUGAAAUAGACUAGUUUGGAAGGAAAGCUGUAAAGAUUCUUGAAACAGCCGCCUGCAUCACUUACGCAGUUGGAGGUAGUCCACUUCCCACGUAUACACACCGUUCCUGGAGAGGCCCCAUCACCAUGGGUAUAAUGCACUACAGACAAACCCCUGUCUCCUGACUACAUUACCCACUUCCCUAAUCACAGUCUUUCCUGAUGCUACUAUCUUCUGCACAGGCCCUGCUUUCUGUACAGUCAUUCUUUACUGAUGAGGCUGAGUGACUACAGACAUUUAUUUCCCCUAACUGCUCUUCAAAAGACUACUGAUCACACACUACAUAUCUGCCAGAAAGUGAGUGCACUCUGUGCCCAUUCCAAUCUGUGUCUUCUCCCCCCUUGCUGUUCAUCCAACAGCAUCACAUAGCUCCUGCAGAAUAGAAUAUAGGCACAGACCCAAAGGUAGCCCAAGAGAAUAGCUGUAAGAAAGAGAUGAGUUACUAAUAUCCUAAUUUCUUAGAAGUUAUGUAGCAAAUCAAGGGGGUUAUUAAAGGUGUGUGCUUUGAUACAUGGUGGAAAUUGGUGUCUAUGAUUUAUGCUUUGUAUCUCUGAAUGAUGUUUCUGUAAUUCGCUUUGGUCUUUUUCUUAGUCUUUUUCAUUACAAAAAAAAGUAGAACUGGA